rnacentral:rRNA from 1 species
GAUGAACGCUGGCGGCGUGCCUAAUACAUGCAAGUCGAGCGAACAGACGAGGAGCUUGCUCCUCUGACGUUAGCGGCGGACGGGUGAGUAACACGUGGAUAACCUACCUAUAAGACUGGGAUAACUUCGGGAAACCGGCGCUAAUACCGGAUAAUAUAUUGAACCGCAUUGUUCAAUAGUGAAAGACGGUUUUGCUGUCACUUAUAGAUGGAUCCGCGCCGCAUUAGCUAGUUGGUAAGGUAACGGCUUACCAAGGCAACGAUGCGUAGCCGACCUGAGAGGGUGAUCGGCCACACUGGAACUGAGACACGGUCCAGACUCCUACGGGAGGCAGCAGUAGGGAAUCUUCCGCAAUGGGCGAAAGCCUGACGGAGCAACGCCGCGUGAGUGAUGAAGGUCUUCGGAUCGUAAAACUCUGUUAUUAGGGAAGAACAAAUGUGUAAGUAACUAUGCACGUCUUGACGGUACCUAAUCAGAAAGCCACGGCUAACUACGUG